UACGUAGGGUGCAAGCGUUAUCCGGAAUGAUUGGGCGUAAAGCGUCCGCAGGUGGCAAUGUAAGUCUGCUGUCAAAGCGUCUGGCUCAACCAGAUAAAGGCAGUGGAAACUACAUAGCUAGAGUAAGGUAGGGGUAGAGGGAAUUCCUGGUGUAGCGGUGAAAUGCGUAGAGAUCAGGAAGAACACCGGUGGCGAAAGCGCUCUGCUGGACCUUAACUGACACUGAGGGAUGAAAGCUAGGGGAGCGAAUGGG
rnacentral:rRNA from 1 species